ACAGAUAAGUGACGCCUCUCGUGUUGGCACAAAUUGCACAAUGAAAAUUUUGUGUGCUUGAUUUGCCUCAUGCCUCAAAGCACAACUUAAUACUCAAAGGAUACGUGUUUGGCCAUAUGUUUGGAAUUAGGGUAAAACAUGUUUUACAUGUUCUCGCAACGCAAUCGUCGACUUGGGGGAUGCAGCAAUAAUGAUUUCUACAGAUACGGGUUACGUUUCAAAGAAAGCCAUCGACAGAAUGGUUUUUCUUUCACUUAAUACAAAUUAAUACCGAAGGACCAGCUGGAAUUAGCCAAUACAAGUUUUUUUUUUCAAAGUUCCAUGUUAAAAAAGAUAUAAUAAAAAAGAUGUCUGAUUGUGAUUAUUAUUAGCACUUAAUUAUUGUGUCAUAAUUUUUAAGGGGGGCUUAUAAGGGUUGUUAUCCAGUGUUGCUUUUCCCCUGAAUUAAAGCACAGAACCCCUUGAAGAACUGCCGCUGACAUUUUCAUUUCAUUUGACAGUUUUUUCAUGGCCAAGCAAGACCAAGAUAAAUGUUAUCUUAUUUUAUGUUUGGAUACGGCUCUCCCUUUUUAAUAAACUUUUAAAACUUAGUAGCCCUAUUCUUUGGUAGAUCAGGCAUAUUUGAAAUGGGAUUUUCCUCAGUCUGUUUCCAUUCCUGUUCCCGUAAACAUCUAUAUUGUUGAAUUUUCGUUCUAUUUGAAUUUUGACUUUGCUUACUUUGCUUGGAAGAGUUGGAAAAAAUUGAAUAUUAUUUCACAAAACAGUCCGAAGGGUUGGAGCUCCAAAGAUUGGCUGAAAUAAAUGUGCGAUUUAAGCACCUACAAAAUAUAGUCCAUGCGGAAGAUGAAAUCAUGGCAUACUUUAUGCUGGAAAUUAAAACAAUUUGCAGCACAAGAAGCCCCUGCUGUGGACCCUGCUGCAGUCCGUGCUGCAGUCCGUGCUGCGGUCCGUGCUGCAGCCCCUGCUGUGGACCCUGCUUCGGUCCGUGCUGCAGCCCCUGCUGUGGACCCUGCUGCAGUCCGUGCCGCAGUCCGUGCUGCAGCCCCUGCUGCACUCCCUGCUGCUCCCCCUGCUCCUAUCCCUGCUGCUAUCCCUGUGGGGCCCCAGGCGCUGGAUUCUGGUUCAGCCAAAUUUAUUGAUGCAAACAGCUAUGCAAUAAAAUCAUAACAAGAAACUACAUGAAAUCCGUACAAUUAAGCAAAUAAAAUUAGUUUUUAACUAUUUCAUGGACAAUAGUGCCAAAGGGAAGGCUAAUUUGGGGGCUGGGUGCUUAAAAAAUCACUUAAGGAUCCCCUACACUGUUGGGAUUAUAGGAUUUUUCUCGCUGAACACGAAUCAGGCCUCCAAAAGUGCAAUUACAUUGAUACGCCAUUGUGUAUCGCCCAUUGUGUAAAAAAAUAACAAUUUGUGGUAUACGAGGGUAUCUGUAGUCCUUAUGUAAAAAUUGUAUAUAUGUAGAUAUAAGAACCACCCGAUCAAAACAAAGACAGAAACUAGGCAGCAAUGUAAGCUCCCGUUCGUUGCUCCUUGCUCCGCAUUUGCUGAGAGCGUGGCCUGAGAGAGUGAAAGAGCGAGAGACACUCGUGUCAGCAGAGUGUGGAUGGCAUUUUAAUGUUUUUGUUGCUGAGAGAGCAAAUGGGUUCCGUUUGCCGAGAAUCCGAGCUCCCUGCUCUCGUGUUCUCGCAAUCUCGCAUUGUUGAUGCUGAGAGAGAAGACGAAAGACACGAUCGGGAAUAAAAAGACAGCCACAAAGCAACUGCGAGAGUGUAUGUAUGUGUGCGUGCAUUGCGGUCGGGAAGCAAAGCUCUCGCUUGCAGAUGAAAUGAAGAUCAAGAGAUAAGACAAUUUGACAGUGCGCUUGGAGGCGAAGUACAAGAAAAAUGCAAGAAAAGAAGAAGCCUAAUCUCUGACACGGUCCUAACAAGUUUGGAUAUGUAGUAAAUCGAAUGCUGGAAGGCGAUUUAAAAAUUUGGGUUUCCGCAAAGCCCUACAUGCCCUCGAAGACGGUUUCCAUCAACAGAGGCCUCUCAAGUGACCCCGACCAAUGGAAAAAAACCCUGCUGACGAGACUUUUGGCAAAGGCUUUACAUAAGAGUACCCACACCUUACAGUGCUUUAGAAAUGGGGCAGCUGUCGUUAGGAUACAAACCCCCAUUUCCUCCCCCCCCACAAAUAUAAUUUUUCACUAAAAAAUAUACAUCACAGUAGGCUGUAUUCUGUAACCUUUGGAAUAUUCAGGCCCUUAGUUGUAAAACCAAACAAUUUUUCAUUCGUUUUCCGGCUCUCGUUCAGGCAACAACUAAAAAUUAUUUUCGGGAAAAAAAAAUUAUGAAAAUUAUUUGAGUAAAAAAAUUUGUGUGUAAAAAUGUUUACGCGAGUUAAAAAAUUUUGUUUGUGAAAAGUAUCACAAGUGUAAAAAUUAUUAUUCGUAAAUCCUAAUUCCAAUGAUGGCUAAAAGUAUCUCCACACAAUUCAGCCCACACUCCAUACUCCAAACUACACAAUCCACACUUUAAGCUACCCAGUCCACACUCAUUGAACCGCAUUUCAAUCUACCAGACUCUUAUACACAAACUACACUUCGAUAAGCAUAUACAUAUGUAUAAGCAUACUUCUUAUACGCUAAUCUGCACACUUAUACUCUGAUCUGCACACUUAUCUACACUCUACGCCAAUCUGCGGAGUUAUUUACACUCUACGCCAAUCUGCGGAGUUAAUUA